UUAGUCUCAGAAAAGCAAAUGAUUAUCUUCUAUAAUAUAUUCGAUGAUGUAAGCAUUUAGGUAAGACGUAACGUGACCGGUUGAAAUGAUUUUCGUGGAUCAUGUAGGUGCACGUGAUGAUCCUUCCCCUUUUAAGCUAUUACUGAAUAAAGAUGAUUUCAAAUCGAAUCAAUAAUAUGGAUCGUUUUCGAAAUUUUUAUUCGAAUGCUGUGAACUGAAGCAUUUCAGAAAUAUCGCGGCGGUAAAAGGCAUCGUUCGAAACUAUCGUGGAAGUCGUUAGCGAAGGCUUCUAAAAAAAGCACCAACGAUAAUCGUCCUCGACGAGCCGAUAAAGCAUGCAACGUACGUCUUAUACCCCCUAGAAGCUCCUUCCCCAGUCGAGAAAGCACGGUGACGAGCGUGUGUUAACGAUUUCUUCGAAACGUAAUACAGUAGGAGCGGGUACUCGACAACUGUUAAGAGUUUUUCGGAUUUAACAGAUAUCGAAUACGUUUUCAUCAUUCUAAUAUGCUUUAUUUUGAAUUCUUUUCUGAAGUAACUUUUUAUAGAUUAAAAAUAGGUAUCUCGCAAUAUUGUAAGUUCCAAAAUCGAUGUCUAUCGAUAAAGACUAUCAUUAUACUAUUCAAUAUUUGUAAAUCUCACGCAAUAUCCUAUCCAAGAUUAUUAUAUAUAGGUAAUAUAUAAACGCAAGUGAUUUAAAAAUUUCGAAAAGUCCCAAGGCGCACGGGGAAACACAUUUGCACGCGCUACGCGUAUUUUUUCCCCUUCCUCUUGACCGUCCGCCCUUACUCUUAAACCUUGUCGCGUGAUCUUCUAUAUCUCUGCUAUUAUAGCAGUUUCUCACCCACUCGCAUCGUUCUAUCUCGUUCGCGCUUACUACCCCACGUACCGACCUACUACUCUCUCUCUCUUUUUCUAUUUUUUUUCUUACUCCCACCAUACCGACCACGUAUGAAUAAAAGCCACGACCGGCUAUAAAAUGGCUACCGUUGUGAUGACACACGGCACACACCACGCUGGGUUGGCUCUUGUUCGUUUAUCGAGAAACAUAGAAAGAUACAAAAAGAUUCCCGCGCGAGAGAAGAUAAAACGAAGCCAACUGUGCGGAAAGGUCGAGGAGGAAGGAGAAGAAGCCACUGACGUCGUUGUUUGACUGUUCAAUCACUAGUGCGCGUACCGGAUCGGUAGCAGUGUUGGUUUUAUCGACCCUGCAAUACGUUUCUUCCAUCGCUGACGAUCCUCGUAAUUUCUACAUUUGUCGAUUUCAUCUUUUUUUGAUAAAAUUGUAACUGGUUCCAUUUCAUCGAAUGACUGAUGAACAUUUCCUUUUUCUUCAGAUGACACUUUUAAGAAGAUCAUCUUAUGAAUAAUGUUCCAGAUAACGUUUCCUCGCCAAUUGAGCAGCUGCAAAAUUCGGUUUAUGAUUAUGCUCUAUACUUACUUGCGGCUUCCUGC